rnacentral:rRNA from 1 species
UACAGAGGUCUCAAGCGUUGUUCGGAUUCAUUGGGCGUAAAGGGCGCGUAGGCGGCAAUUCAAGUCAGCUGUGAAAUCUCCGGGCUUAACUCGGAACGGUCAGCUGAUACUGCUUUGCUAGAGUACAGAAGGGGCAAUCGGAAUUCUUGGUGUAGCGGUGAAAUGCGUAGAUAUCGAGAGGAACACCUGAGGUGAAGACGGGUUGCUGGGCUGAUACUGACGCUGAGGCGCGAAAGCUAGGGUAGCAAACGGG